AUUUAUUAAAUAUUUAUUAUUGCAUGUGUUUUCUUAUCCAUGAUGCACAUUUACCAAGCUUACCAGUCACUGGAUGAUCACAUCCUACCUCAUAGGGCUGUUAUAAGGAAGAGGCCUAGAAAAACCCUAACACACAAUAUAAAUGUGAGCUAUUUGUAGUAUCGUUAUCAGUCCUGAGCAGCAUCUCACAUAUAGCCUGAUUGGGUAUGAACAGGAUCCUUCAGGAGACAUCCGGGCUUCCAAUGGGCCUGGUUCAUUGUUGCUGAUUGGCCUGGAAUGUCUCAGUUAAACAAAUGGGUAUUCUAUAGAAAAUGGCAGCCAGCAUACACAGUCAGGAAUAGGAGAAGGGAACGGGGGAACAUCUGCUCCUUCCCUCAAUGCUCCAUCCGGCUUCUCACCAACUCCAUGGUUUUAAUACCACAAUCAUUUGGUAGUGUUUGCCACCUGCUGAAAAAUCUCAAAAUGAGAAAACUGAAGCUCUGAGAUAUGAAAAGACCUACACAUGAUCCUACAGAUCGUUCAAGAGUGAAGACUCUUUGAGGACACGGAGUGUUUUUCCCCAUUUCUUUUGAAAUAUUUGAAAUAAAAUGUCUUUUGUUCUCA
rnacentral:lncRNA from 1 species